GUAGGGAAUCUUGCGCAAUGGGCGAAAGCCUGACGCAGCCAUGCCGCGUGAAUGAUGAAGGUCUUAGGAUUGUAAAAUUCUUUCACCGGGGACGAUAAUGACGGUACCCGGAGAAGAAGCCCCGGCUAACUUCGUGCCAGCAGCCGCGGUAAUACGAAGGGGGCUAGCGUUGCUCGGAAUUACUGGGCGUAAAGGGAGCGUAGGCGGAUAGUUUAGUCAGAGGUGAAAGCCCAGGGCUCAACCUUGGAAUUGCCUUUGAUACUGGCUGUCUUGAGUUUGGGAGAGGUGAGUGGAACUCCGAGUGUAGAGGUGAAAUUCGUAGAUAUUCGGAAGAACACCAGUGGCGAAGGCGACUCACUGGCCCAAUACUGACGCUGAGGCGCGAAAGCGUGGGGAGCAAACAGGAUUAGAAACCCGUGUAGUCC
rnacentral:rRNA from 1 species